GUGACCGCUUCGGUAGCACUUACACUAAAAUUGGAAUGAUACAGAGAAGAUUAGCGUGGCCCCUGCACAAAGAUGACACACAAAUUCAUGAAGCAUUCCAUAUUUUU
rfam:Erinaceus europaeus unplaced genomic scaffold scaffold00272, whole genome shotgun sequence